rnacentral:rRNA from 1 species
AGGGCAAGUCUGGUGCCAGCAGCCGCGGUAAUUCCAGCUCCAAUAGCGUAUAUUAAAGUUGUUGCAGUUAAAAAGCUCGUAGUUGAAUUUCGGGGUUCUACCGUUGGUCGGGCUAUUGUCUGUACUGGCGUGUAGAAUUUCUACCUUCUGGAGAACUAUCAUGUUAUUAAUUUAGCGUGGUAGGAAACCAGGACCUUUACCUUGAAAAAAUUAGAGUGUUCAAAGCAGGCUUAUGUCUGAAUACAUUAGCAUGGAAUAAUAAAAUAGGACGGUGGUCCUGUUUUGUUGGUUUCUGAAUCACCGUAAUGAUUAAUAGGGAUAGUUGGGGGCAUUAGUAUUCAAUUGUCAGAGGUGAAAUUCUUGGAUUUAUUGAAGACUAACUACUGCGAAAGCAUUUGCCAAGGAUGUUUUCAUUAAUCAAGAACGAAAGUUAGGGGAUCGAAGACGAUCAGAUACCGUCGUAGUCUUAACCAUAAACUAUGCCGACUAGGGAUCGGAUGAUGUUAAUUUUUUAAUGACUCAUUCGGCGCCUUACGGGAA